CGCGUUGAUGUCGACGGCGUGAGAGUUCCCGGGACACAAAAAGAAGGGAGAGAUUUUCAUGUACAAUACACCUCCAUUUUCGUGCCCAACAGCUUUUCACCUUUCCUGGAUUUACAGUUGAGGAAAUUCCGCCUCCUUUACACAAGUUCGCCAUUUUCUUCACUACAGCCCCUAGUGGCAAGAGCACACAAAAAAUGAAUGGAUUUACAGAGAAUUGAGCCAUCAUUGGGCAAGUAUUGCGUAUUACUCGGUCGUCACAUAUUAAAAUUCUGUCGGUUUCGGUGGGAAACCUAAUACGCAGCAGCCAACGAAUAUCCAAGCCAGAAAGGGAUCCUACGUCGCGGUUAAGCAACCAACCCAAUCACACACUGCUAACGAGAAAAGAGAUCCGUAAGGAAAUAAAGCCAGCUGGAAAAACCCCGACUAAGAGGCUUUAUGCAUUUACGUGAACAACCAACCCACACAUACACACAUAGGAAAAGCCAUAAAAAUUGAACGGUAUAUACCCGUAGUAUGUCACGGGAGCGUGCGUCAACGAGUGGGGGUGGGGGACCUUAUGGCCCGCCACCCCCGACCGAAAUAAUUGAUGAUCGCCCUCAUCAUCUUCAAUAUCCUCGUAGAGGUCCAAGCCGCUUUUCCUCGCAACAGUCGAGUACUACCAGUAGUAGAUUUUAAAAAAAGAGCUAUAGCCCCUAUCUAGCUGUUUCUUUGCUGCUGUGCGUAUGAUUUAUUUCCACAUUAUUAUUAUUAUUAUUACCAAACAUGUUGCGUUUUUUUUCUUUCUUUUCUCGUAAGGGAUUCUUCCCUAGACGAAAUGUAUACAUUGUCCUUGUUUGCUG
rnacentral:lncRNA from 1 species